GGCUGAGCCUGGCGGAUAACUGGCUGGUGGACGACGGAGAAACAGUGGUGAAUCCAUUGUUCUCGGUGAAGAAGCACAUGAACAUCCUUAAUACAAAGUGUUUAGCUCACGUGAGCUCAGGUACAACUGGCAGUGGUAGUAAUGGAAAAAAUAUCGUGUACGAAAUAGAGGGAUCAUACUCCCAACGAAGCUGCGCGGUGUACGACGAGAACAGAAGGAGGGUGGCAGAGAUCAAACAGAAGGAGGCAGUGGGCGGUGUGGCUUUUGGAGUCGACGUGUUCCG
rnacentral:misc_RNA from 1 species